UAGUGCAAAGUGGUGGAACGAUAUGUGCAAAUGUUGAGAAAAUCUGAGUACAUCCAGCUGUUAGGGAAUUCGUCGUUUACCUAGGUAGCUGUGGUCAGUAAUUCAUGUACUUAGGAAUUAAUGUACAGUCAUAAAUGCCAAGACAUGGAAUGGGAAUAUGUUAUUACAGUUCUCAGAGGAAUCAAGGUUACCUGCAAAUUGUUUAAUUGCCUCCAUCUCAUCCGGGUGUGUUACCAAGGCCUCAUCUACAGUCACUCCAAGAGUCUCAGCUAAAAGCUGUGGAAGCAGACGCUCCUUUUUGGCCUGUAGAACCAGUCUUGCCUUAAAGGAAAAAUGUAUAUUUGCAACUUAGCUGGAGGUGAUUGUUGAAGGUACCUGCUUAACUCCAUUUGUGCCUAUUGCUGCUGCCAGAAAGGAGUUCUGUUCUCGUCCUUCACAGAAAUGGACUACAUACUACUUGUGGAAUGCUCGUCCCCAUUGGACUGUUUCUGGUGAAUUGAGAAAAUAUUUCCACGACGUGACUGUAGUUAAUUGAACUAUAACUUGCCACGGACAGAAUGACUGGUAUGCCGUCUUUGUUGAUUUC